rnacentral:misc_RNA from 1 species
UAAGUUAUUGGAAGGACUCGAACGCCGUCAUUCUGCCAGCGACAGUCCGGCAGUUGUCGCAGACCUCGUCCGCCAUACUCGGAAUCUCAUUAAGUCAGGCUCAGGCGAACAAUCAUCCUGGAGUGCUGCGGUGGUAGCGCGCGUUUCCCUAUGGAGUGCACUUCUCCUAGUGCAUCUCGACGACCUUGCCGCCNGAAGUGCACUCGUCGGAAUUAAUGAGCUAAUAUGCGUGUACCUUGGCCGCAGCGCAUUUCA